rnacentral:tRNA from 1 species
CUGUAGCUCAGCUGGAUAGAGCAACGGCCUUCUAAGCCGUGGGUCGGGGGUUCGAAUCCCUCCA